AUUGAACGCUGGCGGCAGGCUUAACACAUGCAAGUCGAACGGUAACGUAAAGAAGCUUGCUUCUUUGAUGACGAGUGGCGGACGGGUGAGUAAUGCUUGGGAAUCUAGCUUAUGGAGGGGGAUAACUACGGGAAACUGUAGCUAAUACCGCGUAGAAUCGAGAGAUGAAAGUGUGGGACCUUCGGGCCACAUGCCAUAGGAUGAGCCCAAGUGGGAUUAGGUAGUUGGUGAGGUAAAGGCUCACCAAGCCGACGAUCUCUAGCUGGUCUGAGAGGAUGACCAGCCACACUGGGACUGAGACACGGCCCAGACUCCUACGGGAGGCAGCAGUGGGGAAUAUUGCGCAAUGGGGGCAACCCUGACGCAGCCAUGCCGCGUGAAUGAAGAAGGCCUUCGGGUUGUAAAGUUCUUUCGGUAGCGAGGAAGGCAUUUAGUUUAAUAGACUAGGUGAUUGACGUUAACUACAGAAGAAGCACCGGCUAACUCCGUGCCAGCAGCCGCGGUAAUACGGAGGGUGCGAGCGUUAAUCGGAAUAACUGGGCGUAAAGGGCACGCAGGCGGUGACUUAAGUGAGGUGUGAAAGCCCCGGGCUUAACCUGGGAAUUGCAUUUCAUACUGGGUCGCUAGAGUACUUUAGGGAGGGGUAGAAUUCCACGUGUAGCGGUGAAAUGCGUAGAGAUGUGGAGGAAUACCGAAGGCGAAGGCAGCCCCUUGGGAAUGUACUGACGCUCAUGUGCGAAAGCGUGGGGAGCAAACAGG
rnacentral:rRNA from 1 species